UAGGACCUCUUUUAUGCAGGACUGCAUCUCCUUAUUCUGAGUAUAUUAACAGACUCUUCUUACCUGCACCUGGUGAUCCUGUUUCCCGCAUCUUGGGGUCACAACAGCCGCAGCACAGUGGGUUCCUCACAGUGACAUCAUUCUUCUUGAUAAUCAGACUCUGGAAAAGAGAAAAGAGAAGCUGGAGGCUUAAGUCCUGCAAUGCCUGAGGAACCGACUACAGAGACGUUGGGUUUGCUGAGGAUGUCGGCGAGCAGUACGAGGCCCUCCGCCUUCACGCCAGCACUCAUAAAGGCGGCCAUUACUCGCCCUCCCUUCCCCGCGAGAUUGAAUCAGCGGCGCACAAAGCCAUGCCUCACGCACAAUGAGAGCCCGCCGCUUUUCUGUCAGCCAUUCAGCGGAAUGACUCGCGUAUAGACUCGAUAGGUUGCGGCGAUGGGAAAGAUUUUUGUCAAUCCAUGCUAGGCUCAGCUCGCCCGCCCGCCUUGGCGAGAGCUCUGGUGGAGGAAAUUGCCGGGAGCACAGGAUAUUAAACUUCAAUUUGAGAACACUCACAGGAGCACAAUUGGGGAUUUAUUUAGGGCUUUUGUCAACUAAAUCACUGCUGAGUAUCGGACACGAGUAUAUUUAUAAAAACAGGAUCUCCUGGAGGCGAGACAGCUGCAUAUCGUCGGCUUUGGCUCAUUUUCUUU